UUAAUACAUGCAAGUCGAACGAGAACAUAUCCUUCGGGAUAUUAGUAGAGUGGCGAACGGGUGAGUAACACGUAAGUAAUCUGCCCUUGGAUUGGGGAUAACCCUGCUAACGCGGGGCUAAUACCGAAUAAUGCAGUUUUUCCGCAUGGUUAGACUGUUAAAGGUGGGGACCUUUUUAAGGCCUACCGUCUGGGGAUGUGCUUGCGGUCCAUUAGUUAGUUGGUGAGGUAACGGCUCACCAAGACCGCGAUGGAUAGCCGGCCUGAGAGGGUGAACGCCACACUGGGACUGAGAUACGGCCCAGACUCCUACGGGAGGCAGCAGUAAGGAAUAUUGCGCAAUGGUCUAACGACUGACGCAGCAACGCCGCGUGACUGAUGAAGCAUCUAGGUGUGUAGAAGUCUGUUAGAGGAGAAGAAUAACUUCGUUUCGAAAGGGACGGAGGAUGACGCUAUCCUCAGAGAAAGCUCCGGCUAACUCCGUGCCAGCAGCCGCGGUAAUACGGGGGGAGCAAGCGUUGUCCGGAAUCACUGGGCGUAAAGGGCAGGCAGGUGGGCCUUUAAGUCAGGAGUGUAAUGUACUCGCUUAACGAGUGAAUUGCUUCUGAAACUGAAGGCCUUGAGACCUACAGAGGAAAGCGGAAUUCCAGGUGUAGCGGUGAAAUGUGUAGAUAUCUGGAAGAACACCGAUGGCGAAGGCAGCUUUCUGGGUAGGCUCUGACGCUGAACUGCGAAAGCGUGGGGAGCGAACAGGAUUAGAUACCCUGGUAGUCCACGCCCUAAACGAUGAGUGCUAGGUGUUGGAGGAAUCGACCCCUUCAGUGCCGAAGCUAACGCAUUAAGCACUCCGCCUGGGGAGUACGAUCGCAAGGUUGAAACUCAAAGGAAUUGACGGGGGCCCGCACAAGCGGUGGAGUAUGUGGUUUAAUUCGAUGCAACGCGAAGAACCUUACCUGGAUUUGAAACGCAACGGAAAGCCUGUGAAAACAGGCCCUCUUCGGACCGUUGUACAGGUGCUGCAUGGCUGUCGUCAGCUCGUGUCGUGAGAUGUUGGGUUAAGUCCCGCAACGAGCGCAACCCCCGUCCUUAGUUGCCAUCAGGUUAUGCUGGGCACUCUAGGGAGACUGUCGGUACCAAACCGGAGGAAGGUGGGGAUGACGUCAAGUCCUCAUGGCCUUUAUAUCCAGGGCUACACACGUACUACAAUGGCCGGUACAAUGGGCUGCAAUACCGUGAGGUGGAGCGAAUCCCAAAAAAACCGGUCUCAGUUCGGAUUGGAGUCUGCAACUCGACUUCAU
rnacentral:rRNA from 1 species